rnacentral:rRNA from 1 species
UAGGGAAUCUUCCACAAUGGACGCAAGUCUGAUGGAGCAACGCCGCGUGAGUGAAGAAGGUUUUCGGACCGUAAAGCUCUGUUGUUGGUGAAGAAGGAUAGAGGUAGUAACUGGCCUUUAUUUGACGGUAAUCAACCAGAAAGUCACGGCUAACUACGUGCCAGCAGCCGCGGUAAUACGUAGGUGGCAAGCGUUGUCCGGAUUUAUUGGGCGUAAAGCGAGCGCAGGCGGAAGAAUAAGUCUGAUGUGAAAGCCCUCGGCUUAACCGAGGAAUUGCAUCGGAAACUGUUUUCUUGAGUGCAGAAGAGGAGAGUAGAACUCCAUGUGUAGCGGUGGAAUGCGUAGAUAUAUGGAAGAAUACCAGUGGCGAAGGCAGCUCUCUGGUCUGCAACUGACGCUGAGGCUCGAAAGCAUGGGUAGCGAACAGGAUUAGAUACCCUGGUAGUCCAUGCCGUAAACGAUGAGUGCUAAGUGUUGGGAGGCUUCCGCCUCUCAGUGCUGCAGCUAACGCAUUAAGCACUCCGCCUGGGGGAGUACGACCGCAAGGUUGAAAC